rnacentral:rRNA from 1 species
GACGAACGCUGGCGGCGUGCUUAACACAUGCAAGUCGAGCGGAAGGGCCCGGCGUUUGUGGGGUGCUCGAGUGGCGAACGGGUGAGUAACACGUGAGUAACCUGCCCUUGACCUUGGGGGAACUUCAGGAAACUGGGGCUAAUACCGGAUAGGAGCUCCUGCUGCAUGGGGGGGGUUGGAAAGUUUCGGCGGUUGGGGAUGGACUCGCGGCUUAUCAGCUUGUUGGUGGGGUAGUGGCUUACCAAGGCUUUGACGGGUAGCCGGCCUGAGAGGGUGAACGGCCACAUUGGGACUGAGAUACGGACCAGAAUCCUACGGGAGGCAGCAGUGGGGAAUAUUGCACAAUGGGCGGAAGCCUGAUGCGGAGACGCCGGGUGCGGGAUGACGGCCUUCGGGUUGUAAACAGCUUUCGAAUGUGCCGAAGAGUGAGUGACGGUACUGGGUAAAGAAGCCCCGGCUAACUACGUG